CUCAAACUGGGCCUGGAGGGCCUUCAGCUCCUCAGUCGUGGCACUGAUGGUGGCCUGCGGGGAGAAGGGAGCCCACGGUGGCACCAGGGAGCUGGGCCCAGCAGUGGAGGGUGAGGCUGCUGGGAUGAGGAGACGUCCACGGCCCCUGACAGCUGUGAUGUCGCCCUCUCCUGCUGCGCAGUGCCCUGGGGAUGGGGCACAAGCCCUCCAUCCCGGCUCCGAGUCACCGAGCGUCCCCCAAGGCCCCGCUGCCUGGACGCCCCGGCCCCCCAGCAGGCGGCCUGCGCGUGCCUCUGUGCAGUCAGUGAGAAGGGCUCCCGUUCAGAAUGGGCAGAGAAGGGGGCUGCCUCCCACACCUGGCACCAUGGCCUGUGUUCUGUUCACUGCACACUGAACCAUACAUUCAACGCCAGUCAGGACUCAAUGUGGGUGUCCUUUCCUGCCGAGAGUUUCCUCAGGUGCAGGGCCAGCCGCCUCGGGUUGUUUCUCCUUUGGAAGGAUCUCUCUGGCCCAUCUGGGGGGAGGGCAGCCCAGAGACACGUGUGCACCUGUGUGGGCUGACCUAUGCACAGUGUCACCAAUGUCUGUGACAUUGCUGUAACGGCAACAAAGCUGGAGGCAACCCAGACGCCCGUGGAAGGAAGAACAGCCACAGGAAGACCCAGUCCUGGCAGCUCAGCAUGCAGCCCAGAAACAGAAGAACAAAGCUGCAGAUACACAGCUGGGAAAGGCCACCGAGAUGCUUUGAUAAGUGAGAAGAGGAAAGCCCAGGAGCCGGCAUGGACUUUUCAUUCCUUUUGU
rnacentral:antisense_RNA from 1 species